rnacentral:rRNA from 1 species
GACGAACGCUGGCGGCGUGCCUAAUACAUGCAAGUCGAACGCAUUUUCUUUCACCGUAGCUUGCUACACCGAAAGAAAAUGAGUGGCGAACGGGUGAGUAACACGUGGGCAACCUGCCCAUCAGCGGGGGAUAACACUUGGAAACAGGUGCUAAUACCGCAUAAUUCCAUUUACCGCAUGGUAGAGGGAUGAAAGGCGCUUUUGCGUCACUGAUGGAUGGACCCGCGGUGCAUUAGCUAGUUGGUGGGGUAACGGCCUACCAAGGCUGCGAUGCAUAGCCGACCUGAGAGGGUGAUCGGCCACACUGGGACUGAGACACGGCCCAGACUCCUACGGGAGGCAGCAGUAGGGAAUCUUCGGCAAUGGACGCAAGUCUGACCGAGCAACGCCGCGGGAGUGAAGAAGGUUUUCGGAUCGUAAAACUCUGUUGUUAGAGAAGAACAAGGAUGAGAGUGGAAAGUUCAUCCCUUGACGGUAUCUAACCAGAAAGCCACGGCUAACUACGUG